GAUGAACGCUGGCGGCGUGCCUAAUACAUGCAAGUCGAGCGAACAGACGAGGAGCUUGCUCCUCUGACGUUAGCGGCGGACGGGUGAGUAACACGUGGAUAACCUACCUAUAAGACUGGGAUAACUUCGGGAAACCGGAGCUAAUACCGGAUAAUAUAUUUAACCGCAUGGUUCAAUAGUUAAAGACGGUUUUGCUGUCACUUAUAGAUGGAUCCGCGCCGCAUUAGCUAGUUGGUAAGGUAACGGCUUACCAAGGCAACGAUGCGUAGCCGACCUGAGAGGGUGAUCGGCCACACUGGAACUGAGACACGGUCCAGACGACUACGGGAGGCAGCAGUAGGGAAUCUUCCGCAAUGGGCGAAAGCUUGACGGAGCAAAGCCGCGUGAGAGAUGAAGGUCUUCGGAUCGUAAAACUCUGUUAUUAGGGAAGAAAAAAUGUGUAAGUAACUAUGCACGUCUUGACGGUACCUAAUCAGAAAGCCACGGCUAACUACGUG
rnacentral:rRNA from 1 species